GCUGGUGGGACAGCAGCCUGCUGGAGUGGGUGAAGCCCUUGCCGCACUGGUCGCAGGUGUAGGGGCGCUCAACGGUGUGGGUGCGCUGGUGCUUCAGCAGGCUGCUGGAGUGGGUGAAGCCAUUGCCGCACUGGGCACAGGUGUAGGGACGCUCGCCGCUGUGGGAGCGCUGGUGCUUCAGUAGGCUGCUGGAGCUGGUGAAGACCUUGCCGCAGUGGGCACAGGUGUAGGGCUGCUCCCCGCCGUGGGUGCGCUGGU